AGCUUUGUGCAGUGGCAGUAUUGUAACCAAUGAGAUUUACUCGAGGCACAAUUAUUGCUAAUUGAAAGAAAAAAUAAU
rnacentral:snRNA from 1 species